GUGUUUGAGCCGGCGGUUCCACAGCCGGGGAUGCCUUUUUCACGUGAAACAGGUCAUUAGUAACCCGUUACAGAAAGCUAGGCGUAUGUCGCAUGUCAUUACUUCACAGGCGAGGCAUUGGUUGAAGCCGAGUUAUUUUGAAAGCGUUUCAGACAAGUCUGCUGUGAAUCAUCAUAAUCCAUAUACUAUACCGCAUAAACCUGCUCUCCGCCACCAGUACAAGGAGAUGAAAAGGAGAGCCGCACACGGAGCUCAGAUGCAAUCAUUAUUAGAACCAACGUUUUGACAACCAAGCUGUCUUCGUCAGGCCUGGUGUUGUUGUAGCCAAGGAGCUUUCACUCAGAUGGAUCCAGGUUUCAGCUGCUGUGCAAUGUUGAAGUCCUUCCUCCCAGAUAUGUAAAAGCAUCCCCCGGACGAGACACAACCCGGCAAACCUAGAUUUUUGAGAAGAUCAGAACAUUUGCAAUGAAAAGGCCAUUUACAUGUCCUGCUCUAAAGGCUGGGUUCCUUUCUUCAUAUCAUAACAUGACCUGAACCACAGUUACUCAGAGGAUCUUAUGAUUUACUUAGAUAUUGUUUUUUACCUUGAUUAUACAACAAUAGGGAAUUUCAUACAGUAAAUGGUUUGGCUAAUGGGGGUAACUUGGUGAGAUAAUGUUCAGAGAAUCCAUUUAGGCAAUUUGGUGAAAGUAUUCCUUCUCUAAAUAUACUGUAUGUUCUCCAAGGAUUAAUGUAGGUCAGGUGUGAAAAUGACAGCAAAAUGUUUGAAUGCCUUUUUUCUCCUAAAUUGGAUAUUAGAUUUUUCUACUUUUAAAACAUCAUUACUUCCACGUUUCCUCCAACUAAAGUGUAUGAUAUGCCCUUUUGAAGCUCUGUCCAAAACACAAUUUGAAAUGUUUUAACAUUUAGUAAUCAACAAAUACAAAAAUGAUGGGGCAAAAAUAACCAAAAAAUAAGAGAAAGCUACAUGACAAUGCAGUGCCAUAAAAACAAGUUCACAAACUUUCCGCCGUGUUGAGAUGGAUCUGCACCCGUGUUGAGACUGCCGGGGAGAUGUAGGCUUUCUCCUAUAGAGCUCCAUUUUUAUGGAACGGUCUGCCUACCCAUGUCAGAGACGCA